rnacentral:lncRNA from 1 species
GCAAGGAUAUCAGUUUGCCCGCGCGAAAUCUCUUACGCAUGUAUAGAGGGGCAGCAUCAUGAUAUAUGACUGAACGUCUCUGACCACCUUCUAUCUCUUGUUCAGUAGGCGGCUCUUGCGCUUCCUCGACAUCUUCAAAAGUGAAGUCUUCCCUCUGGCAAAGGACAAAGGGAACACCGCGCGGUACAGAAUAAGCUGUCAGCAUGCGCGCUAUACGAUUCGAGGCUUCUAAAUCCCUCGUACUCAGUUCAAUCGAGGCAUUCAUAGGCACUCGAUUCGGAUCAUUCCACAUCUCCCGGCUCCCAGGGAGAAACUCAGAAGUGAUAAAAAGAAAUUCUCUUUUCCAGUUGGAUCCAAAGUUCGUCGGGAG